rnacentral:lncRNA from 1 species
UCCGCUCUUCUCCGUCGCUUCGCUCUCUCCUUCUCCUAACUCUGUUCCUAAACCACUUCCCUCUUUCUUCUUCUCAUAAUUUCGAUACAAAAUCAUAAAAUCAUGCGAAAACAAAUUCAACCAAAAUAUCUACAAAAAGGGAAACUCAUGGAAGAAGAUAGGUGUGAAUCGUUUACCAAAUCGGAAGCUCUGAAAAUCUCCGGGUUCGGUGAGAUCCUCCGGAUGCCGGCAACUGUUCUCUUCGGCGAGCGAUUCUUCAGUGAGGUGAACUACUUUCCCUUUGCUUUAGAUUCAGUUUAUAGCUCAACCUUGCUCAAACUCUGAUGAUGAGUUUGAGCGGUUAAUUAAAAAUGAGCUUUGGGUUUUUUCGAAAAAAAAUGCUAUGUGUUCUUCUGGGUUUGAAAGAAAUUGAUCUGUUGUUCUUGUGUUCGUUUUUAGGGUUUUUAGGAAUAUUGAUGUGUUGUUCUUGGUUUUCAAGAAACAAAUCACUCUGUUCUCAUGUGUGUGUUUGAGAAAAAAAAGCUUUGUUGUUGUUGUUAACUUUUUAGGGUUCUUUUAGAAAAAAAUUCUGUGUUGUGUUUAUGUGCGUUUGCUGUUGUGUUCUUGCUGUGUGUACCCACUCUGUUAUCCCAUCAAUCCGUUUAUGAAGAAAAAUUAAGUCUUAAGGGCUCCCUUUUUCGAUUUUCCCAUCCCAGAUUAUGUGGGAUUUCAUCUCUGUUAAUUUGUUCUAUUUUAAGCUAUUGUUGCAAUGCCUUUUUUGAGGAUUCAUGUUAAUCUGCUGUGUAAAUCUUCGAGCUAAGUAGUUUAUUUUGUUGUUUUUCAGUUUCUUAACCGCUUCUAAAAAGUGCUUUUUAAUUAAGCUGUUUUUCUUUGCAGGUUACAGGUUUGAAAUGACUUUGAUGGAAUGGGAAAAAAAAGUGGGCUAUAAGGAAGCAUACUUGGAGGCGCGCCCAAAUCCAAGGGGUUUUCAAUUUGAUUAUCUGGCUUUAGUCUUUAGGAUUUGUUUCCAUUUGCAGCAAAUUUCCACUUAGUUAAAAUGUAAUUAUUUAGUUUAGUUUUUUUCAAAGACAAAAUGUGUAUUUGGGCUAUUUGCAAUUUGUUGGAUUUGAAGUCUCAUGGCCAUUAAUAACUAUGUAAACAUGAUUUUAAAAUUAUUUCAAACAAUUUCUCCAUUUUAAUUUUAUGUUAUCCAUAUAUGUAUUUAGAACUUCAUGUAUGAAAGUAAAAUGGACCGUGGAAAUGGAUUAGUAAAUUCAAAUAUUUGAAUGCACCUCUUUAAUCAUGACCUAACGAAUUAGGUGUAUGAAUGUGAAUAGAUUUAUAAAGUUCAAAGUGUAUUCUUAACCAAGCAUGAACAAGUAGCAUGAAACAAAUCUAAUUCAAAAUAUAUGGAGUUAUAAAGUUCAAAGUGCAUUCUUAACCAAACAUGAACAAAUAGCAUGAAAUAAAUCUAAUUCAAAAAUGUAUGGUAUGUACGAAGUGAAAAGAUGAUGAUUAUGAAUGUGGUUGACUUAUGAUUGAAAAUUUCCAUGGAAAGCUUGAAAAGAAUUGAAUCAUUACUUGUAUAAGACAAUGGGAUGUGUAUUGAUUUAUGAAAAGAAAGUGAAUGGUUUAGCAUAUUAUGAAGUGUAGGUUGNNNNNNNNNNNNNNNNNNNNNNNNNNNNNNNNNNNNNNNNNNNNNNNNNNNNNNNNNNNNNNNNNNNNNNNNNNNNNNNNNNNNNNNNNNNNNNNNCACUUAGUUAAAAUGUAAUUAUUUAGUUUAGUUUUUUUCAAAGACAAAAUGUGUAUUUGGGCUAUUUGCAAUUUGUUGGAUUUGAAGUCUCAUGGCCAUUAAUAACUAUGUAAACAUGAUUUUAAAAUUAUUUCAAACAAUUUCUCCAUUUUAAUUUUAUGUUAUCCAUAUAUGUAUUUAGAACUUCAUGUAUGAAAGUAAAAUGGACCGUGGAAAUGGAUUAGUAAAUUCAAAUAUUUGAAUGCACCUCUUUAAUCAUGACCUAACGAAUUAGGUGUAUGAAUGUGAAUAGAUUUAUAAAGUUCAAAGUGUAUUCUUAACCAAGCAUGAACAAGUAGCAUGAAACAAAUCUAAUUCAAAAUAUAUGGAGUUAUAAAGUUCAAAGUGCAUUCUUAACCAAACAUGAACAAAUAGCAUGAAAUAAAUCUAAUUCAAAAAUGUAUGGUAUGUACGAAGUGAAAAGAUGAUGAUUAUGAAUGUGGUUGACUUAUGAUUGAAAAUUUCCAUGGAAAGCUUGAAAAGAAUUGAAUCAUUACUUGUAUAAGACAAUGGGAUGUGUAUUGAUUUAUGAAAAGAAAGUGAAUGGUUUAGCAUAUUAUGAAGUGUAGGUUGACUUAGAAUUGUUUUUUUUUAAUGAAAUGAAUAACUUAUGAUACAUAAAGCAUGUUGAUUUUGUCAACAAAUGUGAUGGAAUUAUAUAAAGUGGAAUGUGUAAAUGGACUAGUAAGUAGUGAUCAUAGAAAUAAUAACAUGGCUCUUAAUACUUACUAAUAAGAAAAUAGAUUUUGGAUUAGUAAUGCAAGAAGAUUCAAACCACAUUUUAGAUUAUGAACACACUUAAGCAAAUGGGUCUUUGAAACAAAGAGAUCUCAUGGGCAAACCACAAAUGGCCGGACAAAAUUGGGGUAUGACAGCUGCCCCUAUUUAAUUACCUCAAACCGGUAAGUGAUAAUGACAGUAGUGUUUACGCAUUCACGGUGGGAGAUAAUUAAAUACAAGAAUUCCCAGAUUUUGCCCUAGGAAAUGAGAGGAAGAAAAUGCAGGAAGAAAAUGCGGUGAGAAAUGGAAAAAGACAUUAUCCCACAGUAAAAUGGAACAGUCAAGACUUUCUAGGAGUCGUCAGAACAAUAUCUUGGACAUCAUAGUCGAGAUAUGUUAGCAAUGGAAUGACAUCCCUAGCUAAAUCUCAAGAUUUUUUAGGAUGCUAGAGCAGUAUAAACAAAAUCUGGCAUGAGACUCUUCAUAUCGAUGAAGCAGCAUCUCAACAGUAAAAGUGAGAUUCUCUGUAUCGAGUCGAAACAACAUCUUAUAUGAUAGAAUUAAGAUAUUCCGAACAAGGGAAUGAUACCUUAAUUGAAUCUAAGACUCUCUGGGGAUACUUAGAGCAGUAUCUAAAAAAAAAUCUGAAAUGAGACUCUUCAUAUUGAUGAAGCAGCAUCUCAAACAGUAAAAAUGAGAUUCUCUGUAUCGAGUCGAAGCAACAUCUUAUAUGAUAGAAUUAAGAUAUUCCGAACAAGGGAAUGAUACCUUAGUUGAAUCUAAGACUCUCCGAGGAUACUUAGAGCAAUAUCUCUAAAAAAAUCUGAAAUGAGACUCUUCAUAUUGAUGAAGCAGCAUCUCAAAUAGUAAAAAUGAGAUUCUCUGUAUCGAGUCGAAGCAGCAUCUUAUAUGAUAGAAUUAAGAUAUUUCGAACAAGGGAAUGAUACCUUAAUUGAAUCUAAGACUCUCCAAGGAUACUUAGAGCAGUAUCUCUAAAAAAAAUCUGAAAUGAGACUCUUCAUAUUGAUGAAGCAGCAUCUCAAACAGUAAAAAUGAGAUUCUCUGUAUCGAGUCAAAGCAACAUCUUAUAUGAUAGAAUUAAGAUAUUCCGAACAAGGGAAUGAUACCUUAAUUGAAUCUAAGACUCUCCGAGGACACUUAGAGCAGUAUCUCUAAAAAAUCAAAUGAGAUUCUUCAAAUUGAUGAAGCAGUAUCUCAAACAGAGAAAUGAGAUUCUUCAGAUAAAUGAAGCAGUAUCUCAAAUAUUCGUCUGUUGGGGAUUUUUAAGAAAAGACUCCUUUUGAGGGAGAUUUACUAGAAAUGCUCUGCAGGGGAAACGCUUACAAGAGACUUUUUAGGGUAACCUCUGCUUGGGGAGCAAUGAUUGUAAAGAAAAAUGCUGGGAAUAUCAUUAUUAAAAAAAAAGUUGAAAAAAGAUUUGCUGGGAAAUAACCCUUACGAGCCUAUGUAGGGUAAUAACUUCAUUUGGAAAUGAGGAGUGUCCGAGACAUAUACGAGUGACCUUGGAUCCUGUUAUUUUAUAUUUGAUUUAUGUAUGAUGUUCCACUUUAGGUGGGAAUUCCAUGCAUGGGAUGUACGCAAGUAUGCAAUUUUGUUAGGGAUAUUUGGCUGUGCAUGUAGGAAUUCGAAUGAGUUUUAUUUUUUUGCUGAAAUUCCCAUUUUCUGGGAGUGUUAUGCAUGAGUAUGUUGAUGCUUGAUAUGACUGUGUUUUUUUUAACUUCCUUGUUUGGCAGGAAAUUAUGCAUGAAAUAAUGCCUGUGAUGCAUGUAGGAAUGCAACUAGGUAAUUGGAUAUGCCCCGGUUAUGACAUUUCGCUUUAAGGUAUGAUGCCAACAGUAUGGUUUUUCAUCAUUGGGGCGAUCAAAUUUUAAUGCCCCUGCUAGGCGGUUUUGGGAAUAUAUUUGGGUUGUUCCGAACAGACGAAGGUUCAGACUUUUCAACACGCGAUACUCCGUCCAUGAUUUAUCAAUGUUUCUGUUGGAAAUGUGAUGGAGCCUUGCCCCGGUCUGGCUAUACCAUGAGUACAUUUAUGAGAGGUAUGAAUCAGUAGUUGAAAGGAACAUAACCGUCUGCAAUCAGUCCUACACCUUUAUGAAAGACAAGAGUGAAUCUUGGGGACUAAAGGAUUCGUCCGCUUACUGUUUCAAAAGCAAUUUUACCACUUUAUUCAAACAUGCAUUUUAUUUUCUCCAAUAGUUUUUAAAAGUGAUGUUUAUCAAAAUAAAAGGUUCUUUGCAAACAAACAGAUAAAAUAAAAAAUGAUUUGGGCACACUUUGUUGAGAAAAUUCUCUUUUAUUGAUUUGACCCUUAAAUGGGUGAUUGUAGAAAAAAACGCAAUUCCUUAAUGAGGUAAUUGUUGUGCAUAGAAACAAAAUGGCAAUGAGAAUUGAGUUCUUAUUGAGUUUCCACACUACUAUGAUCCUUAUGUCUUUAAUAGCCCGAGCACUUUGCUUUUAAAAAGUGAGGUAGAUCGAUUCUUUGUCUUCGAGGGUAUGUCAGAUGUCCGGAAGUACAACUUUUUGCCUUGGAAUUAAUCCCUAACUUUUGCCUGGACCGCCCUUUCGGGUUUUCGAUCGACCGGGAUACCCAUUUUUGCCUGAGUCGCCCUUUCGGGUUUUCAACUCAGCGGGUCGAUUUUUUUUUUAUCCUUAAUUUUUGCCUGGAUCACCCUUUCGGGUUUUUGAUCCACCGGGAUAGCCAUUUUUUUUGCCUAAAUCGCCCUUUCAGGUUUUCGAUUUAACGACUUUUAUUAUUCCAUUUUUUUAGGCGAAGUACUUUUUAACAACGUCAGUAUUGGUGGGAAGCGACAACUCAUCACCGUCCAUAGUUGCUAGAAUUAGAGCGCCUCCGGAAAAGACUCUAACCACCACAAAUGGACCUUCAUAAUUUAGCGUCUAUUUCCCUCUAGAGUCUUUGUGAAUGUGCAAGAUUUUCUUCAGUACUAAAUCUCCCUCUUGAAACACCCUGGGACGAACUUUCUUGUUGAAUGCCUUUUUAAGACUCCUUUGAUAGAGUUGACCGUGACCUAACGCUUUCAAACGUUUCUCUUCAAUAAGGUUGAGCUCGUCAUACCUUGAUUGAACCCAUUCCGCCUCAUCUAGCUUAGCUUCCAUCAGAACUCUCAUCGAGGGGAUCUCUACUUCUAUAGGGAGAACUGCUUCCAUAUCGUAUACCAAGGAAUAAGGAGUUGCCCCUGUUGAAGUUCGUAUCGACGUGCGAUAGCCAUGUAACGCAAAAGGUAACAUCUCGUGCCAAUCCUUGUACGUAACAACCAUCUUUUGGAUGAUUUUCUUGAUAUUUUUAUUUGCAGCUUCAACAACCCCAUUCAUCUUAGGUCGAUAGGGUGAUGAGUUGUGGUGCUCGAUCUUGAAUGUUGCGCAUAACUCAUCCAUGGUCUUGUUGUUGAGAUUGGACCCAUUAUCAGUGAUGAUUUUAUUGGGAAUACCAUAUUGACAUAUGAUGUUAUUUUUCAAGAAACGGGUGACUACGUGCUUCGUGACGUUCACGUAAGACGCGACUUCCACCCAUUUGGUAAAGUAAUCUAUGGCCACCAAGAUAAAUCUGUGUCCAUUUGACGCUUUGGGUUCUAUCAUUCCAAUCAUGUCGAUGCCCCACAUAGAGAAAGGCCAAGGUGAUGCUAUGACAUUCAGCGGGGUAGGCGGUACAUGUAUUUUGUCAGCAUAGAUUUGGCACUUGUGGCAUGUUCUGGUGUAAUGAUAACAGUCGGUUUCCAUCGUCAACCAGUAGUAACCUGCCCUUAGAAUUUUCUUGGCCAUGGCAUGCCCAUUGGCGUGCGUACCGAAAGAACCUUCGUGUAUGUCCCUCAUAAGCUGAUCUGCUUCAUGUUUGUCCACACACCUUAACAAAACCAUGUCGUAGUUUUGCUUGUACAAUACCUCUCCAUUCAAGAGGAACUUGGAUGCCAACCUCCGGAGGGUCCUUUUGUCAAGGCUGGAAGCCUCUGCCGGAUACUCCCUCUUCUCCAGAUACUGUUUGAUAUCAAAGAACCAGGGUUUACCAUCUGGCUCUUCUGCUGUUGUCAGGCAAUGAGCAGGUUCGUCAAAACGCCUAAUCUCAAUAUGAGGCUGAUGGUUGGGCCAUAUCAACUUGUACAUGGAAGCCAAAGUUGCUAAAGCAUCUGCCAUUUGAUUUUCUCCUCAAGGAAUAUGAGAGAAAGUGAUUUCGUCAAACUUUGGGAGUAGCUUCAGCACAUAAUCCCGGUAUGGAAUUAGGUUAGCAUGCCUUGUUUCCCAAUCGCCUCUAAUCUGAUGUAUGACUAGAGCGGAGUCCCCGAAUACUUCUAGUAUCUUGAUCAUCAACUCAAUAGCUUCUUCCAACCCUAAUAUGCAGGCUUCAUACUCGGCCAUGUUGUUUGUGCAGGUAAAACAAAGCUUUGUGGUGAAUGGUAGAUGGAAAUUCUUGGGAGACAUCAGCAAUGCCCCAAUUCCAUGGCCUGUUGCAUUUGAGGCACCAUCAAACAUGAGCGUCCAGCCUACUCUUGGCUCGAGGCUUUCCUCUAGUUUAGAGUCUUCAACAUCCUUAACAGCCAUGAUGUCCUCAUCUAGAAAGUCAAAUUUCAAAGAUUGGUAAUCCUCCAGUGGUUGGUGAGCAAUAUGGUUUACUAGUACGCUUCCCUUGAUCGCUUUUUGUGCAACAUAUUGGAUAUCAUAUUCUGACAACAACAUCUGCCAUCGAGCAAUCCUACCAGUGAGAGCUGGUUUCUCGAAUAUGUACUUGAUGAGAUCCAUUUUAGAUACCAGCCAAGUUGUGUGAGUUAGCAUGUACUGCCUGAGACGCUUGGCAGCCCAUGUGAGUGCAUAGCAAGUCUUCUCGAGUAAUGAAUAUCUGGUCUCAUAAUCAUUAAAUUUCUUGCUCAAAUAAUAGAUGGCAUGCUCUUUUCUACCAGUCUCAUCCUGUUGUCCCAAUACACAACCCAUGGAUUCAUCGAGCACGGUUAGAUACAUGAUGAGAGGUCUUCCUUCGGCAGGGGGCAUUAGAAUCGGUGGCUCUUGCAAGUAUUCUUUGAUUUUAUCAAAGGCUAUUUGACAAUCCUCAUUCCACUCCACACCUUGAUUCUUCCUCAGAAGCUUGAAUAUUGGUUUGCAUGUUGCAGUGAGGUGAGAGAUAGAUCUGGCGAUGUAAUUUAGUCUUCCCAAGAAACCACAAACCUCCUUCUCAGUCUUUGGUGCAAGCAUGUUCUGAAUGGCUCGAACCUUGUCAGGAUCUACUUCAAUUCCCUUUUGGCUUACAAUAAAGCCUAAAAGCUUCCCAGAUCGAACCCCAAAUGUGCAUUUAUUAGGACUAAGUCUCAACCUAAACUUCCUCAAACGUGUGAAUAGUUUCUCCAGGUUGGUGAUGUGCUCUUCUUCUGUCUGGGAUUUGGCAAUCAUGUCAUCGACAUACACCUCAAUCUCUUCAUGAAUCAUGUCGUGAAAGAGAGUCACCAUGGCACAUUGAUAUGUUGCCCCAAUGUUUUUUAAACCAAACGACAUUACUUUGUAACAAAAGGUUCCCCAAGGAGUAAUGAAUGUGGUCUUCUCCAUAUCUUCGGGAUCCAUUUUAAUUUGGUUGUAUCCUGAGAAACCAUCCAUGAAGGAAAACACAGAGAACUGAGCUGUGUUAUCCACCAGUACAUCAAUGUGAGGUAAUGGGAAAUCGUCUUUGGGACUAGCUCUGUUUAAGUCUCGGUAGUCUACGCACAUGCGGACUUUUCCAUCUUUCUUCGGCACCGGUACAAUGUUGGCAACCCAUUAUGGGUAUUUAGCGACUUCCAGGAAACCANNNNNNNNNNNNNNNNNNNNNNNNNNNNNNNNNNNNNNNNNNNNNNNNNNNNNNNNNNNNNNNNNNNNNNNNNNNNNNNNNNNNNNNNNNNNNNNNNNNNNNNNNNNNNNNNNNNNNNNNNNNNNNNNNNNNNNNNNNNNNNNNNNNNNNNNNNNNNNNNNNNNNNNNNNNNNNNNNNNNNNNNNNNNNNNNNNNNNNNNUGCUCUUCUUCUGUCUGGGAUUUGGCAAUCAUGUCAUCGACAUACACCUCAAUCUCUUCAUGAAUCAUGUCGUGAAAGAGAGUCACCAUGGCACAUUGAUAUGUUGCCCCAAUGUUUUUUAAACCAAACGACAUUACUUUGUAACAAAAGGUUCCCCAAGGAGUAAUGAAUGUGGUCUUCUCCAUAUCUUCGGGAUCCAUUUUAAUUUGGUUGUAUCCUGAGAAACCAUCCAUGAAGGAAAACACAGAGAACUGAGCUGUGUUAUCCACCAGUACAUCAAUGUGAGGUAAUGGGAAAUCGUCUUUGGGACUAGCUCUGUUUAAGUCUCGGUAGUCUACGCACAUGCGGACUUUUCCAUCUUUCUUCGGCACCGGUACAAUGUUGGCAACCCAUUAUGGGUAUUUAGCGACUUCCAGGAAACCAACGUCAAACUGCUUUCUCACCUCCUCUCUGAUCUUGAGAGCCAUAUCAGGUCGCGUCCUUCUUAGCUUUUGUUUGACAGCAGGGCAUUCUUCUUUAAGGGGAAGCUUGUGGGUCACGAUGUCAGUGUCUAAUCCGGGAAUGUCUUGGUAUGACCAAGCAAACACGUCGUCAUAUUCAUGGAAGAGCUCUAUCAGUCUUGUCUUCACUGUAUCUGGAAGCGCGACGCCUACCCGUACUUCUCUCUUAUCUUCUUCUGUUCCCAGAUUGAUAACUUCAACGUCUUCCUGGUAUGGUUGAAUGACCUUUUCUUCUUGUCUGAGCAAUCUGGCCAACUCUUCAGGGAGUUCGCAAUCUUCCCCCACUUCGUCUUCAGCUUGGUAGAUUGGACAAUCAAAGUCAUAUUGGACCAUAGCAGUGUUGUUAUCAAUGGUCUCGGUGGUGUUUCUGCAUGUUAUGAUUUAUGCAGUUUAUUUAGAAAGUGUGUGCAUAAAAAUUGAUUGCCAUUUUCGUAAAUAGAUUAAAACAAAAGAAAAGGAACAAAAAUUUGAAUGCAAAACGUCAUUUCAUUAAUGAUAAAAACUCUUGAAAAAGAUAAAGGAGGCCCUACAACAUGCCACUGUGCCUUGGGCAGAGCACAUGGUUUUGUCUAAAAAUGAUAAAAUUACUUUUGAAAUAUUUGGGGAACUUCCACAGCCUUCCAGUUUGUUAGUUAUUCAUUAGGUGCGGCUUGACGCAUCCAUCUGGACAUCCCCUCCUUGCGGUCUUCUUCACUGAUCAUUGCCACUUGCUUGCCAAAGAUGUGGCCAGCGCUGGUGAACGUUUUCUCCACAGAAGGAAUCUUCUCUUUGUCAGAUUGGUUACCAACUCUGUCUGAUGAUGGGUCAUACCCCAGGCCAAACUUGUCUCGUUUCUCUUUCACUUCCACCAUUUUGCCCCAGUCUUGAGCAUCUUCACUUUCCAUAACGGCUUUAGCUCCUUGCCACGAGGCCAUGGAUGGUCCUGAUUUCGGGACCUCCAAGGUCUGUUGAAUGGCCAUCAUGUUUACUACUUCCAACGAUUGGAAGGGUGUCUCAGUGAUUUCACCAUCCACCUCGAUAUAUCGGAAAGAUGUCAAGUGACUAACCAAGAUAUCUUCUUCUCCUCCAACCAUAAUCAUCUUGUCAUUUGUAAUGAAUUUUAGUUUUUGAUGCAGAGUGGAGGUGACAGCACCUGCGGAGUGAAUCCAGGGUCUCCCAAGUAGGAAACUGUAACCAGGAUGUAUAUCCAUGACCUAGAAUGUGAUAUUAAAAAUAGUUGGACCUAUCUUAGUUGGUAAGUUAACCUCUCAUAUCACUGCUCGUCUUGAGCCAUCAAAUGCCUUUACGAUUAGGGUGUUGGGCUUCAUACUUAUCCUUGCUACUCGCAGCUUUAUCAAAGUCGUCUUUGGCAUGACGUUUAAUGAGGAACCUAUGUCUACCAACACCCUUGACAGUAUAGUAUCCAUGCACUUCAAGGAGAUGUGGAGAGCCUUGUUAUGGUUCUUUCCUUCGAUUGGUAGUUCGUCAUCAUUAAAACCCAAGAAAUUUCCAGUAGUCACACAAGCUAUCACGUCAUCAAACUGUUCUAUUGUUAUGUCCUUUUUGAUAUGAGUGGCGCUCAAUACUUUCAACAGUGAAUUCCUGUGUGCUUCUGAGUUGAGCAGUAGAGAUAACAUGGAAAUUUUAGAAGGUGUUUGGUUUAGCUGGUCCACCACCUUAUAAUCGCUCUUCUUGAUUAUUCUCAAAAACUCCUCAGCCUCCUCACGAGUGACACCAGCUUUAGGAGGCAGGUGCAUAUCUUGCAUCCUCUGAUUAGGGAUGAGGAUCUUGACAGCAGCCUCCUUCCCUUUAGCUAUCUCAGAAGUGUCAGCAGUUCUUGGUGUGAAUACCCGACCACUACACGUCAUUCUUGAUGGCUCUAUAAUUGAAGUGACAUUUGGUUCGUUAAUCAUUAAAGGUUUAUCUUCCUGCCCCUGCUUAAAAGCUCUGGGCUGAUAUAUCCAUGGGACUGCCUUCUCAUCUUUAUAUUCGAAUGGUGCUGGGAACUAGCUCUGGGCUGAUAUAUCCAUGGGACUGCCUUCUCAUCUUUAUAUUCGAAUGGUGCUGGGAACUCUAUCACCAACGGGCUUAUAGGUAUUUCUACUUUGACCUCAUCAUAGGGGAUAUCUACCACGGAUAUCUCUUCCUGGCGCUUGCUCUUGACACGGUAAGUUAUCUGUAACUCGCCUCGAUCCAACAUUUGUUGUAUAAAACUCCUCAACUCUUCAUUGUUCUCUUCCUCAACCAGCUCUUCCAGGAUCAGACCACUCUUCAGCAAUUGUGCUCCUAUCAUGGUGAUAUGGGUUUGAAUCUCUUCAACCUUACGAAUCAGUUUGCCUUGAUCACUCUCCUCAAUGGCACUGACGAAAGCAUCCUUAUGCGUCAGCAUAGGGUUGGUAUUCACGUUCGGGUGUCUUGGAGUGAAAGAAACGACCUUGGCUUCGAUCAAGUCUUGUACUCGAUUCUGAAAUGCGAAACAGUUUUCCAAAGUAUGACCAGGUGCUCCCAUGUGAAAUUCACAAUGGGCAUUAGCGUCGUAAGAAACGACCUUGGCUUCGAUCAAGUCUUGUACUCGAUUCUGAAAUGCGAAACAGUUUUCCAAAGUAUGACCAGGUGCUCCCAUGUGAAAUUCACAAUGGGCAUUAGCGUCGUAUCCAGGUGGAUACGAAAAAAUAACUGGUUUUAACUCCCUCAAUGUUAGAAGGCCCUCCUUCUGCAGAUAUGGGAAUAUCUGACUAUAAGGUACUGGUAGAGGAUCAAGUUGUCUUCUUGGAGGUCUUGGCUUGAACUGUCUUGGUGGUACGAUAUUUUGCUGAUGAUGAUGUUGUUGAUGUUAUGGUUGAUACAUUUGUUGUUGCUGCAUUGGCUGUUGAUAGGGUAUAGGUACCACGGCGGCGACUUGACCAUAUGAAGCUUGUUGCUUCCCUUUAUAGUUCCUGGACAUGGCGUUUGUUUCACCUUCUCUUUUCUUUGGGAAGCCUCCAGAAUAUUUCUUUGGUGCGCUAGAUGUUGUCACUGCUCCAGGAAUCUUUCCAUCCCUCAACCCCUUCUCUAUGCGGUCUCCAAUCGAGUUUCACCUUCUCUUUUCUUUGGGAAGCCUCCAGAAUAUUUCUUUGGUGCGCUAGAUGUUGUCACUGCUCCAGGAAUCUUUCCAUCCCUCAACCCCUUCUCUAUGCGGUCUCCAAUCGUGACGAGAUAUGCGAAGUCAGAUGCUGCACUACUUACUAAUCGAUCAAAGAAUGGGUCCUUCAAGGUGUCCACAAAGAUCCCGGUCAUUUCCUUCUCAGACAAUGGUGGCUCUACCUGAGUAGCCAGCUCUCUCCACCGCUGGGCGUAUUCCUUGAAUGACUCACUCUCCUUCAUAGGCAUCCCUUGCAACUGCAUUCGGUCGGGUGCCAUAUCUAAGUUGUAUUUGUACUGACGGAGAAAUGCGUCAGCCAAAUCCUCCCAACUUUGGAUUCGCCCCUGUUCUAAACUCAUAUACCAUCUCAGAGAUGCUCCACUCAAACUGUCUUGGAAACAGUGUACAAGUAGUUUGUCAUUUUCGGUAUGAGCAACCAUUUUCCUGAAGUACAUCACCAGGUGACUUCAAACUCAUAUACCAUCUCAGAGAUGCUCCACUCAAACUGUCUUGGAAACAGUGUACAAGUAGUUUGUCAUUUUCGGUAUGAGCAACCAUUUUCCUGAAGUACAUCACCAGGUGACUUCUUGGACAAGUUUGUCCUUUGUAUUUCUCGAAAUCAGGGGUUUUAAAUUUAGCCGGAAUGACUAAAUUCGAUACCAAACGCAUGUUCAUGGCAGAAGCACCGAAGAUGUUGUUUCCUUCUAUGGCUUUGAUUUUCUUUUCCAGGGCACGAAGCCUAUCUGCAGCAGGAUCUGAAAGUAUCUUAGGCUUUGGUUGAUCAGGCAUAUAGAAUGCAUUAUACUGGGCAUCUCCAAUUUCGGAUCCAUGAUGAGUAGACGUAUCAGAAAGUUCUGCACGACCUCCAUCUCCUUUGCCUCCUACUGGUAUCUGAACCAAUCUCUUCUUGGUGGGGACGUAACUUUCAUCUUAGGGAUUCGGACCUGGUGCGCCAUCAUUCCUUCUUGCCCUAGCUUCUUCCUCCUCGCUCCUCUCUCUCUGAGUGAUCGCAAGCAUUGUUUCCAAUAGCUGAUCCAUCUUCUCCUGGAUCGUAUUGAUGUUUGUCCUCAAGGUAACAUGGUUGGCCUCAACUUGUUCUAAUGUCAUCUUGUAUUUGCUUCGCGUCUCGUACCGGUGUUGAUUAGUCAGUGUGGCUGGAUAAAGGGUAAAAAGGUUGGGUAAGUUUUUUUGAUUUUCAUGAAGUGUGAUGCAUAAUGAAGAUGAUAAUGUCAUCUUGUAUUUGCUUCGCGUCUCGUACCGGUGUUGAUUAGUCAGUGUGGCUGGAUAAAGGGUAAAAAGGUUGGGUAAGUUUUUUUGAUUUUCAUGAAGUGUGAUGCAUAAUGAAGAUGCAUAUGUUAUGCAUAUUUUAUUUCCAGGGAGUCAUUCGAGUUUCAUUAGUUGUUAGUAAUUCGAAGAAACAAAAAUACUUAGGAUAACAAUAAUGGAGUAAUUUUUAAACGUCAUUCAUUCCAAUACAUAACAUAGAGGUCCAAAAAAAGUCAUAGUUCAAAAGUACAUUUGUUAAAGGAACAAAAUACAAGACAUAAGCAGAUUAAACAACUGGCUUUCUGGCCUGAAGCUCUUCUAGUUCCUCAUUGAAUCUCUUCAACAACCCUUUGCAGAGCAGAAGGAAAUUGAUUAUGGCUGGAGGAGUGCUAUCUUCUUUCAACUCUUCGACUGCGUCUCUCAACCUCCAUGGCAAUUCUUUAGCUGCCCAAUUACAAAAUCCUACUAGCCCAUCGAGUUUUGCACGAAACUUAUCCCUAUCCCCUUGUAAGAAGUCUAUGGUCUUCUUAAAGGAUUCAUAAUCUUUAAUCACAUAGUCUCGCUCUUUCAACCAUAUGGAGCUGUCUUGGCGUAAUGACUCUAGCUGGUUCUUCCAAUAGCUUACAGACUCCCUGGCAUCUCUUACUCCUCGACACUUCUCUUCCCAUAUCAUGGGUGACACCCUAGAAGCUUCAAUGACUAUUUUCUUGAGUCGGCGCUCCUGAUCUACUUCAGCUUUUGCAUGACGAACAGAAUUGGUGAGUUCUUUUAUCUGAGCCCCAAGUGUAUCCCUUAUUGUCUUGUUCUCCUUUGUGGCUAGAUGCCAAUUCUUUUAUCUGAGCCCCAAGUGUAUCCCUUAUUGUCUUGUUCUCCUUUGUGGCUAGAUGCCACCAACGCUCAUUGUCUUGACAUUCUUUCUGAGCUUGUCGUAGUUGACCCUUAAGAGUAUCCAAAUAAUGAUCAUCCUGUUCUAAUCCCACUUUGAUCUUCUUUCUCUUAUGCUCCUCCUUGUUGAACUUUUCCACGUGGGCUUGAAGUUGUGCCUCUUUUCUCUCAAGCCCCCACUUCAUAUUAUUUUUCUCAUUGAUGGUUUGUUGGAGUUUUGUCUGCAGCUCUUCAUUCUCUUUUUCUAGCUUUGCCAUGGCGGUCUUGAGUUCCUCCAUUUCUUCAGUAGGGACAUGGGUGAGCUUAGGUUCAGGAAGAGGUAUAGGUGUCCGAAUGACAAAUGGCAUUUUAAUUAUUUGGACCCUUUCCUUUACCCACUGAAAAUAUGGUUCUUUUGUAAUCCCAUUUUCUCUCCCUAACUCAACUUUCCCUUUUUGAUUGAUAUUCUUCCAAGCUUCUUUGAUUCGCUGGAAUAAGCUAGGAUUCUCAACCCCAAAGUCAAGUAACAAGAAAGCUUCCAAAGAAUUUGCCUCUAGAGGGCCUUCCAUUGGGUAGCCAAGUCGUCUGAGUGAUAGAACUGGAUUAGCAUUUAUACAUCCUUGAGUUCCAAUGAGCGGUAGAUUUGGGAAAUCUCCACAACUGAAUAUGAUGUCUACGUUGAUAUAUUCUUUGGAGUACCAAGAGAGAUCACUGAGUGAUAGAACUGGAUUAGCAUUUAUACAUCCUUGAGUUCCAAUGAGCGGUAGAUUUGGGAAAUCUCCACAACUGAAUAUGAUGUCUACGUUGAUAUAUUCUUUGGAGUACCAAGAGAGAUCUUUAGAUCGGAGUGAUCCCAAUCUCUGAGGCCAACUAACAUCUGACUGUUCAACCCAAGCACCUAUCUUCGGAAGAUGUUCCAGAAACUACUGAUACAAUAAAGGAGCACAACAAGCAAUCAAUCCUUUCUUCUUAGUAUACCUAUGACUUAUGUGAUAAUAGACAUCGGCUAACAAAGUGGGUACUGAGUUCUCAGUAAGGAAGACACAAAUGGAAGUCAUGUCUACGAAACCAUCCAUAUUCGGGAACAGGACGAUGCCAUAGAUAGCCAAUGCAAUAGCAGAGUAACAAGCAUCCCAACUUUCUGCUUUCAACAGGGUAUGAGCUCUUUCUAAAAGAAAACUUAGUGAAAACCCUUUGGUAUUGCCUUUGGUCUCUAAGUUGUCUUUUGCUUCCUUUUCAUCCAUGUGAAGCGCACUAGCAAUGACCUCGAGGGGCAAAGAUUCAUCUGUCCCUUCAAAUAGUGUCUUGUCCUUCAAAGGGAUUCUAACAAGACGCUCAAAUUCUUCCAACGUUGGUGCUAGCUGGAAGUCUUGGAAUGUGAAGCAUCUUAAAGGUAAGUCAUAAAAUUGGGCUAAAGUGAUCAAGGUUGUAUGGUCCACUUGUUGAUUUGAGGAUGCUGAGUAAAUUUGCCAUUAAUUCUUUCCAAAGUUUAUUCUGUAAUAGGGUGCAUCUGAGAGACCAAGUUACGUAAAUUUUUCAGAUCGAAGUCUUUGAACUUGAAUGAGUAAAAUAUUUCUUUUGCUUAAUUCCAUGUUUCUUGAAUUUCCUGCAACUCAUGAUACUCAGAUUCCUUGGAAAUAAAUAAUAUGAAAUGCUAUGCUAUGAAUGUAUUUAUGCGUGUCACAUGUAAGUUGAUAUACAGGUCAUGUGAGUGGUACUCUUGGUUACUAAACAAAACCCUUUUGGUAGAAUGCUAAAGGUAAGAAGUUCCCAAAGUCAUCAAUCAAUAUCUAGGAAAAUUAUUGUCAUGAUGAAAACUCAUCUGCAAAUAAACAUUCUCCAAAACAAAGUUUCAUCUGGGGAGGCCUUCGUACCGUCCCAAGAGGAAAACUCCUAGUGGGCCCAUACUACACAACUCUCGAGUCCAAGGUUCUAAUAAGGUUCUCAGAGUCAUAGAUCGAGGUUGGGAAUACCACUGUAAGGUAGUAAUACGCCCAAGGGAUCUCAUCUGAUUGGGGGCUUUUUGUAUUAACCUAAUAAGUCUGAGACUUUUCAGGUAAAUACUACAUAACCACCGAUAUAAUGGGUUAAAAGGUCCCUAGAGUCAUUGAUCCAACUUGAGAAUACUAUCGUCGUGACGGAAAACUCGUCGGGCAAUAAUAUUUCAAGAGAAUCUCCUCUAGGCGGGGUCUUCGUUUCUUCCCAAACAAGGAGAAAUCCUUGUGGGUUGCCCCACCUUGCAACCACCAACUUAAUCUUAUGGUUUUUCUCAGACUCGGGUAGAGAGCCUAUCUCACAAAGUAUCACCGACCAGAGAACCCCAAAUAAGACAUAUUCAAUAAAUCACAAUACAAUCAUCAUGACAACAUAAUAAUAACAGAAUAAAUAACAAACAGAUAAAAUUAACACACAAUACAUCAACUGAACUAAGUUAGGCUUUACUCUCUUUUGCUUAGAGCUAGUCCCCAGCAGAGUCGCCAUCUGUCGUAUCUCGAAAAAUACGAUUCCUCGCGAUGGUCGCGGAAAAUAUUUAUGUUCGAAUAGAGUCGCCACCGAACUUUAUUUAUCCCAAUGAAGGAAUAGGAAAAUAUUGAUAAAACCUUUUGGAAAUGGAAUAAUGGUCGUCACAACCAUAUUCGGGUUCGGGAGUGUAUUACGUAAGGGGAAGGUACUAGCACCCCUUACGUCCAUUGUACUCAACGGGAACCUUUUAGUUCUAAUGUGCGUUUCGAGUGAAUUUAUGUUUGUUUGUUAUCUUUGGGUUAUAAAAUAUUGAAAAUAGAAAUGGAUGAGAACCUCAGAAAGGAGAAAGGGGAGGUUUUUUACUAGUGUGCUCGCGAAGAUACAACAAUCUCCUGCCUACGUAUCCUUAUGGUAUAAUAAGGAAAUCAGAGCAUUCGUAGUUCGGGGAACUACGGUUGGUUGGUGUCUUUUAAUGAACGAUUGUUUAGAUCACAUCCUAAAGGCUAAACGCUGGUUUGUCUACUCUCGGCGGAGGCUUAAGCAUUGGUUUGUUGUGUUUAUCAGAAAGGAUUAAAUAGUGUUCUUUUGAAAAUAGUUUUGGUCGCACGGGGACGACAAGUUGGAUUAAUAUGUUGGAUAUUUUGUUUGACUGGUUGUGUUGAGAUGUUUUGGUUGGAUGACGAUUACUCGGAUGGUUGAGUAAGACAACUCGUAUCCUAACAGUCAUGGUCGCACGGGGACGACAAGUUGGAUUAAUAUGUUGGAUAUUUUGUUUGACUGGUUGUGUUGAGAUGUUUUGGUUGGAUGACGAUUACUCGGAUGGUUGAGUAAGACAACUCGUAUCCUAACAGUCAGGAAAGAGGGUAGAAGACUCUAGACCACUUUCUUUUUCAUCCUUAAUUAUGAAAAGAUUUGAAUGAUGGUUAAGGUAUUUUAAAUGGAUGAAGAAUACUCGGAUAACCGAGUAAGACAACUCGUAUCCUAAUAAUCGGGAAAGGGAAUAGAAGACUCUACACCACUUUCUGUUUCAUCUGAAUAUUUAUGAAAAUAAGGUUGUGUAUGGUUGAUGUAUUUUAGAACAGACGACAAGUACUUGAAUGGCUGAGUAAGACAACUUAUAUCCAAGCAUUUGAGAGGAGGAAUUGAAGACUCAAGACCAUCCCCCUUUUCAUAUCGUUUUGAUUGAGACUGAUUUGACUUACGGUAUGAGUUGGUGAAAAAUGACAAUUAUUCGACUGACCGAGUAAGAGAACUCGUAUUCAAACAGUUGAGGAUUGAAAUUGAAAAACUCAAAGUCAACUCCUUUUUAAUUUAGCUUAUUGUGAAAAUAUUUCGAUUUAAUCGGAGUUUGGAAGUUAGUAUAGGAACGACAAUUUUUGGCUAACCAAGUAAGAGAAAUUGUAUUCAAAUAGUCGAGGAGAAAAAUUGAAGACUCAAAGUUAUCUCCCUUUUGGUUUCUUGUUAUAAAAGGAUUUGAUUUGUUUGCAUUUAAAUGAAUUAGAAAUGACGACCAUUUGACUAACCGAGUAAGAAAACUCGUAUUCAAAUAAUCGAGGAGAGGAGUUGAAAACUCAAAACCAUCCCCCUUUUAAUUUUCAAAUGACGUGUUGUUUAUAUGUGAUUAAGUAUUUUAAUUUAUCUUUCGAUGUCGGAUCGAGGUUUUUAAAAUUUGCAUCCUCGUGAAUGAAUUGAGUUUAUUUAGUGAAUAAUCCAUUUAAUCGAUUAAUUUAAACCGAAUAGGUCUCAUUGUAAGAAAGCCCAAGAGUAAGCCAUGUGAGGUUGAUGACGAUGCUUUUACAAGCGAUCGACUUACAUAGGUGUUUUGAAAAUGGGCUCGACUUUGAAUCGAGAAGUAUGUGAUUUAUUUUGAAAUCGGCUCGGAUUAUUUUAAAAAUCGCUGAAAGCGACGUGAUUUUGUCACAAUUUUAACAUAUCAUUUCGUGUACACUCAAGGUUCAAUAUAAAUAGAUAGGUAAAGAAUAAUCAUUCACGUACACUCCUUAAAGUAAAUAAACAUCUAAAUUAUAAAGGUCACUUGUGAUUCUAUAACCAAUUAAUUAAUUGAAUAUUUAACGAAUUAUUUUAUUUUAAUUAAAUAAUAAGUAGUAAUAAUAUAAAAAAAAUGAAUAUAAUCAAAUAAUUAAAUAUUAAUGAUGAUAACAACUAUAUAAUUGUGUAUUUAUUUUUUGAAAAUAAUAAUAAGAAUAGUAAUGUAAUUACAUAUUUACUAUAUAUAUACAAAAAAAUAAUAAUAUUAACAAUAGUAUAAUUAUUAUUUAAAAAAAAAAUAAGAUAAAUAAAUCAAAGUGGUAGCACACACAAUUUCCAUAAAAAUGAGUAAUUAUUUACAUUUAACUAAUAAUGGUAAUAAUGAUAUUAAACUUAAUUAAUUAAUUAAAUAGUAGAUAAUUCUAUUAUUAAAUAACUAUGAUAGUAAGAUUUUAGUAAAACAAAUAAAAAUCAUGCUUGAAUCAAAUAAAUUUAAAUUAAACCUAAUGAUAUUAAACUUAAUUAAUUAAUUAAAUAGUAGAUAAUUCUAUUAUUAAAUAACUAUGAUAGUAAGAUUUUAGUAAAACAAAUAAAAAUCAUGCUUGAAUCAAAUAAAUUUAAAUUAAACCUAUGCUAACACAAAAAAAGAAAUAAAAUGGACCCUGAAAUGCCUCCUAAGCCCACCAGGGCGCAUGAUCAUUAAAGGAAACGGAUGGGCUUUUUAGACCAGCCAAAGCCCAGAUGGGGCGCAUGCUGGUAAUAUCCUGGUGGUGCUGAUAGUAAAAGUGAAAAACAUAACAAACAAAUGAGGAAAAAGGGCCCAAAUUGUACACAACCCAUGAGAUCCUGGUCAACUUUGUUGACCCUUGGGGGAUCAUCUCUUGGACGGUGACAAGUGUCUAGGAUUGGUGACACUUGUCACCACUAUUGUCACACUUCCAAUGGCCACGUUAAAACAACAAAUAUAGAAAAUUGAACCGCCCUUUUUCUAUUUCACUCUCUCUCUUCAAACCAAACCCAAACGAAAGGGUUCUAUACAGAGCGUCUCCCUCACCUUUUUCUAUUUCACUCUCUCUCUUCAAACCAAACCCAAACGAAAGGGUUCUAUACAGAGCGUCUCCCUCUGCAAACCCUAAAUUUCCUCUCUCUUGGAGAAGACGACCGGAGACGGCGGCUCACGGCGGAGCCUCCGCUCUUCUCCGUUGCUUCGCUCUCUCCUUCUCCUAACUCUGUUCCUAAACCACUUCCCUCUUUCUUCUUCUCAUAAUUUCGAGACACAAUCAUAAAAUCAUGCGAAAAAAAAUUCAACCAAAAUAUCUACAAAAAGGGAAACUCAUGGAAGAAGAUAGGUGUGAAUCGUUUACCAAAUCGGAAGCUCUGAAAAUCUCCGGGUUCGGUGAGAUCCUCCGGAUGCCGGCAACGGUUCUCUUCGGUGAGCGAUUCUUCUGUGAGGUGAACUACUUUCCCUUUGCUUUAGAUUCAGUUUAUAGCUCAACCUUGCUCAAACUCUGAUGAUGAGUUUGAGCGGUUAAUGAAAAAUGAGCUUUGGGUUUUUUUCGAAAAAAAAUGCUUUGUGUUCU